UGCGUAGGUGGCAAGCGUUGUCCGGAAUUAUUGGGCGUAAAGCGCGCGCAGGCGGUCCUUUAAGUCUGAUGUGAAAGCCCACGGCUCAACCGUGGAGGGUCAUUGGAAACUGGGGGACUUGAGUGCAGAAGAGGAAAGUGGAAUUCCAUGUGUAGCGUUGAAAUGCGUAGAGAUGUGGAGGAACACCAGUGGCGAAGGCGGCUUACUGGUCCAUUACUGACGCUGAGGUGCGAAAGCGUGGGGAGCAAACAGG
rnacentral:rRNA from 1 species